rnacentral:rRNA from 1 species
UACGGAGGGAGCUAGCGUUGUUCGGAAUUACUGGGCGUAAAGCGCACGUAGGCGGCGAUUCAAGUCAGAGGUGAAAGCCCGGGGCUCAACCCCGGAACUGCCUUUGAAACUAGAUCGCUAGAAUCUUGGAGAGGUCAGUGGAAUUCCGAGUGUAGAGGUGAAAUUCGUAGAUAUUCGGAAGAACACCAGUGGCGAAGGCGACUGACUGGACAAGUAUUGACGCUGAGGUGCGAAAGCGUGGGGAGCAAACAGG